UUUCUUCUUUUUCUUGCAUUUUUCUCUUCUUUCUUUAUUUAUCUACAAUUUCCUGAAAUAAAAUAAAUAAGCGAUUAAUACUACGAAAAUAAACAAAAAAUAGGCACUUAAAUAUGCAAAAAUAUGGACUAAUCAAACUUCCCCAUACCUAUCUUUUGCUCGUCCUCGAGUAAAAAUCAAAAGAAAAGAAAUAAACUAAGAAAACUAAAUGCGAUUCCUAGGCUCCUUUUCGUAGGCGUGACGGGUGAUUUUAGGUUCACCAACCCGUUAAACUCGUAGACGAUCUCUACAAGAGGAGUUUUGUCUCCUAAGGGUUUACAGAAGAUAUACCCAUAAAAUCUGUGAGACAUUCUAGCAAGUGUCUACUCGACUCUACUCUAAUUUCGUUGGUGUUAACAAAAAGCGUUUUUUUUUUUAAGGAAAAUACGACUUAAAGACUCUUAUACUAAUAAUCAAGAUACAAUUGCCUCUAAUCUACUUGCAUCGACACAAAAAUUUACUAGAAAUCCAAGGAGUGUAAUGAAUUUUAAGGCCUUUGAUGGAUCCUAAUUGUCUAAGAACAUUUUCUCUUUUUCCACCAAUUUUGAACUGACCCAUUCUCUAUCGAAACAAAUAUCUAGCCAAUCUUGCAUUUUUCUUCUUUUUCUUGCAUUUUUCUCUUCUUUCUUUAUUUAUCUACAAUUUCCUGAAAUAAAAUAAAUAAGCGAUUAAUACUACGAAAAUAAACAAAAAAUAGGCACUUAAAUAUGCAAAAAUAUGGACUAAUCAAACUUCCCCAUACCUAUCUUUUGCUCGUCCUCGAGUAAAAAUCAAAAGAAAAGAAAUAAACUAAGAAAACUAGAUGCGAUUCCUAGGCUCCUUUUCGUAGGCGUGACGGGUGAUUUUAGGUUCACCAACCCGUUAAACUCGUAGACGAUCUCUACAAGAGGAGUUUUGUCUCCUAAGGGUUUACAGAAGAUAUACCCAUAAAAUCUUCGAGACAUUCUAGCAAGUGUCUACUCGACUCUACUCUAAUUUCGUUGGUGUUAACAAAAAGCGUUUUUAAGGAAAAUACGAC
rnacentral:lncRNA from 1 species